rnacentral:lncRNA from 1 species
UGUUAAAUAAAAUAGUAUAAGUUCACUGUAACCCUGGACUUUGUACUUUUAUUUUUUCACCUGUGUAAAUGAAAAUCUUUAGCUCAGAAGGCAAUGUGAAUGUUAUUGUAAUGCCAGUAAUAACUAUUGCUUGGAGAGUCUUUAAAAGAAAGUUGGUAAAAGUUACUAUUUACUAUAAUUAUUAUCAGGGUAACCAGGAUGUAACCAAUUUUCAGUAGGAGAGAGAAUAACUCUCAAGUAGUAUGGAAUAGUGCAUUUUGAUCAAACACCUUAGUUUCCUUUGCACCUUUGCCCUAGAUAGGAAGGGCAGCCUGUUUCUUUCAGAAGAUAUCAGAUCAGUCAUCAUGAUACACUAGCUCUUGACAUAAUAAUUAAUUCAUAUGAAUUACCCAAGUGAUAUUAAGAAAAUGAUUUAUAUAAUCUAUGAUGUGAGAAAUCAAUUAUUUCAUUAUUCAUCACCCAUUGUGCAUUUUUGAUUUAAUUUAGUUUGUUGUAGAUUAUUUUACUGCUCUAUUAACAUAAUGAUUUGAGCAAUUAUUUAUAGUUUGUGAUAUUAAGUAAUAGAUUUAGGGGAUAUUAUCAGAUAAUUCAGAAUGAAAUGACGUCUAUGAAUAUUAUGUGGAAUUCUGCUAUUUUAAUCUGAGUGCUGUAUGCAGUUUGAUCAUAAUGAAUUCGUAUUCUUCUACAAAAUUCAUGUAACAACAAUAUAAAUGUAAUUUUCCAUUGACACAGAAGUUAGUAGUUACCAGUAUUAUUUAAUAAAGAAUUGGUAGCUAAU